AACCCCCCGCGUGGCGGCACCUCACCGAAUCCCCCAGGGCCGGAAGGCAGCAAGGGCAAGUGGGCUCUGCCGGGUGCGCGGGGGGCCUUCU
rnacentral:SRP_RNA from 1 species